GUUUCUGGUUAAGUGACAUGUUGAUGAAACGUUGAAGCAAAACAAUCUAAUCCAGAUAACAAGAAAUCCUAACCAAUUCUGACCAAUAGUAUAAUGACUUUUAAAACCUCUGAUUUGGGGUUCUACGAACAAGGCUUGAAGAAACAUGGAACAUUGUUAAAAUUCUUGUAAGUUUUUUUAUUGGGUUUACUCCCACAUUAGCCUCAAAACGUAUCGUUCGUACAAGUGAGUGGAGUCCAUAACAAAUUAUUACGAAGGCUCUUGGUCUACGGAGCAUUCGCAAUUACCCAGAGACCGGCAACAAUGACUAUAUUUGCAUAAAAACGAUGGCCAGAAUCGAGCUCUCGUUCAUGCAAUCGCUUGAGUUAGCUGGCUUUAUCUUUGCUUCAUGACUUAAACCUAAGAUCCUCUACCUGCCUUCUCCUUUGGUGUGACAGCGUUAGCGCCAUUUUCCCCUUGUUUUGAACUCGGUUUUUCACUCACUUCAUUAAUCAUUAGUGGUAAGGUUCUCAACAAGAGGGAAACUAAACUCAGGUUUGGAUCAACUAUGAAUGCUUUAACUAAGGCACUCUCCCAUAUCCAAUUCAAUUAUUUUUUAAGUUAACUCGAAAUCCACAAUUUUAUAAACUAUAUCCCUCUCGUUUAAGAUUUACAAAUACAAAACCCUCCUCAAUUUUAUAAACUGUUUAAACAGGGCAUGAUAGAGUUGGUUAGACCAUUUUGUGGUUUUACUACUACAACCGAAUUAAAAAUGAAUUUAGUAAAUUAAUAAUUCAAAAUUUUUUAAUUUUGAAGUUAACCCAAUUUAUUAUGUUAAAAGAAAAGAAAAUAAAUCCGAAAUGCAGAAUAGCCCAUUUCACUGUAAAUUCUUUUCUUCACCUCAAUCGUAAGCUUUCACUUUCAGUUUCAGUUUAUCAAAUCAAACCCACCAAAAAAAUGCUGACUUCCCUCAUCAAAACCCGCGCCCAAAUCCCCAUUCUCCACUCCCUCAAAACUCUGACCACCUCAGCCUCCUUCAAACCCUCCAAAGACGAUUACUUUGCCGCCAUCAACCACGUCGCCAACAUCGUCCGCCAUGAUAUCUACCCUGAACGCACCCUCUCCAAACUCAAUCUCACCCUCACCUCCGAGCUCGUCUUCCGCGUCCUCCGCGCCUGCUCCACCUCCCCCUCCCCCUCCGAAUCCAUCCGCUUCUUCACCUGGGCCCGGGCCCACUACUCCCCUACCUCCCUCGAAUUCGAACAGCUCAUCAAAACCCUUGCCCACCAUAAACGCUACCAGUCCAUGUGGAAGACUUUUGAACUCAUGAAAAAAUCCCAUCUUUCUCUCAGUUCUGAAACCCUUUGUUUUGUAGUUGAAGAGUUUGGUAAACAUGGGUUGGUUGAUAAUGCUGUUGAGAUUUUUAACAAGUCUGAGGUUUUUAACUGCGAAAAGUCUAUUGCUUUGUAUAAUUCUUUGCUGUUUGCUUUGUGUGAGGUCAAGCUGUUUCAUGGAGCUUAUGCCUUGAUUAGGAGGAUGGUGAGAAAAGGGGUUGUGCCUGAUAAGAGGACUUAUACGAUUCUUGUGAAUGCUUGGUGUUCGUCUGGGAAACUGAGGGAGGCUCAAGAGUUUUUACAGGAGAUGAGUGAUAAAGGGUUUAAUCCGCCUGUUAGAGGUCGUGAUCUGUUGAUUCAAGGGUUGUUGAAUGCUGGGUAUUUGGAGUCUGCCAAGCAAAUGGUGAAUAAAAUGAUUAAACAAGGAUUUGUACCUGAUAUAGAGACAUUUAAUUCGUUGAUUGAAACUAUUUGUAAAUCUGGGGAGGUUGAGUUUUGUGUUGAUAUGUAUUAUAGUGCGUGCAGAUUAGGUUUAUGUGUGGAUAUAUGUACGUAUAAGAUAUUGAUUCCUGCAGUUUCGAAAGUGGGUAUGAUCGAUGAAGCUUUUAGAUUGUUGAAUAACUUGGUUGAGGAUGGUCACAAGCCAUUCCCGAGCUUGUAUGCUCCAAUAAUUAAGGGGAUGUUUAGAAGGGGGCAAUUUGAUGAUGCGUUUUGUUUUUUUAGCGAGAUGAAAAUCAAAGGGCAUCCACCCAACAGGCCGGUUUAUACAAUGCUGAUAACAAUGUGUGGUCGUGGGGGGAGGUAUGUAGAGGCGGCAAAUUAUUUGGUGGAGAUGACUGAGAUAGGGUUGACACCAAUUUCGAGGUGCUUUGAUAUGGUUACUGAUGGUUUGAAGAAUUGUGGGAAGCAUGAUCUGGCCCGGAGGAUAGAGCAGUUGGAGGUGUCUCUUCGGUCUGUUUGAUAUGUGUGGAAUGGAAAGGAUGAUGCCUUUUAUUGUCUGCCAUUUGGGCUCAAGAAUGAUUGUGGAACCAGGCACCUCUGUAAUGUUAUAAUUCUGAUGAUUCCUAGAAAUAAGUAAAUGGGAAGGACUAGUUAUUUGGAUAACAAAGUUGAAGAUCUGUGUCAUUGGUUUCCUGAAUACAUUGGUGACUUUGCCAUCAGGGUCUUCAAAGAGAAAAAGACUUCUGUCAUCUGCUUAUCGAAGCCGUGAAUGCCAUGCCCUUACUGUGUGAUGUGCUAGUCAACAUAACGUUGUCAUGCCAUUUCUUUAUACGAGAAUGAGAAGAAUACUAUUUUAUUGGAAAAGUAACACUUUGCUUAGAAGAAAAAAGGUGUCUCCCUUUUGUAUUUUAGUUUUCCACAUAGCAAAUUUAGAUCAGAAAACUUCAUUAGUAAAAGAGCCAACAUUAUAUCAACACAUUGACAAUCUAUAGAACUGAACCCUCAGCAGGUAGCAGCCUCUUUAUUUCUGGGCAAACCAUGAUAAAGAAAAUUUCAUUAAUACAGAUCACAGUCAACUACUUUAUGACUCCUUAAUUUUUUUUAUCUUGCUGCAUACUUAACUGUUAUUCCUGAACUUUGCUUGAAGAUUUUUCACCACAUUUGGGUUUAGCUGGAAUGCCUUCGCCAGAGCAAAAGGAUUAAUGGGUGGAUUUGAUCCAAAGACUGCAUUUGCUACUGUAAUGACACCAGGGUUCUGGCUGCCAAAAGAAGCAAUAGCAACUGCAUUCGUUUUGCCUAUAUUCACUUGGAAAUGAAUCAAGCCUUCUGGGAAGACAAAUAAAUCUCCACUGUUGAGAACCUUUGAGAAAAGUGUGUUGUUGGGGUUUGAUGUGACAAAUCCAACAAAAAGAGUGCCUUUCAGGACUAGGAGGAGCUCAGUGGCUCGAGGGUGAGUGUGUGGUGGGUUUUCACCACCGUUUGGUGCGUAAUCAAGUCGAGCUAAGGCUACACCAAGAGUGUUAAGUCCUAGGAUUUGCUCAACAUCUAUAAGGGUGACAGUUGAACCAACUUGAUUGUUCGUGGGUCUUGGUAUGUUAAGCCCUUGAAAGAAGAAGUCAUUUGCAGUUACAUGACUUGGGUCCUUGCAGAACUUCCCAUUCACAAACACUACAUGAAAAAAUGAAGAAAAUACUAGUCAAAAUAGUGUGUUAAGUAGCAGAAACUUGUAUGUUUAAUUGUUAACAGAAAUUAAGAGAGUACACACCGCCAUCUACAGUGUUUUUGAUUGCUACACAGAAGUCCUGAAGAGGGGCAGGGUCUGGGGCAAAGGCUGGUGGAGAAGCCAAAGCCAAGAGAACAAAAACUACAAGGACAUGAACAGUUUUCAUAAUCGUAUUAGGAUAGCUUAUUUCAAUCUGAAUGUGUGAGAUAGAUUGCAUGAAUAAACGUGAAUUUAUGGUGGAA